AUUGAACGCUGGCGGAAUGCUUUACACAUGCAAGUCGAGCGGCAGCACGGGGGCAACCCUGGUGGCGAGCGGCGAACGGGUGAGUAAUACAUCGGAACAUGCCCAGUCGUGGGGGAUAACACUUCGAAAGAAGUGCUAAUACCGCAUACGUCCUGAGGGAGAAAGCGGGGGAUCUUCGGACCUCGCGCGAUUGGAGUGGCCGAUGUCAGAUUAGCUAGUUGGUGGGGUAAAGGCCUACCAAGGCAACGAUCGGUAGCUGGUCUGAGAGGAUGAUCAGCGACACUGGGACGGAGACACGGCCCAGACUCCUACGGGAGGCAGCAGUGGGGAAUUUUGGACAAGGGGGGCAACCCUGAUCCAGCCAUUCCGCGUGAGUGAAGAAGGCCUUCGGGUUGUAAAGCUCUUUCGGCAGGAACGAAACGGCGAGCUCUAACAUAGCUUGCUAAUGACGGUACCUGAAGAAGAAGCACCGGCUAACUACGUGCCAGCCGCCGCCGUAAUAC
rnacentral:rRNA from 1 species